GUUUAUAGAUAAUCAAGCUAUUACCGUUUUUAGUAACGCAGGGAAGUCAUCCUUUUUAGCCGUAAUUACAGAAGAUUGCUCUAUUAAAAAGAAAAGGAAGAAGAAAUUGGUAAACAUAUACUUUCGGCGGUGUCAUUUACUUUCGGCUGUGUCAUUUACAUUCGGCUGUGUCAUUUACUUUCGGCUGUGACAUGUAUUGGUCAUACAUUUAAAACGAUUCUAUGGUUAUACUGAUUCGCCAAGUCCCAGUUACAAAAAGAAAUUGAAUUACUUAGGCUUCCCAUUGCAGAAUCUCGCUCUACAUCUACGCUAUAUCGUUUAUACGCCGUUUCAAAUCAUUAUGGUUUUAUGGAGAGCGGUCAUUAUACCGCUUUCUGCAAAAAUGAUGCACUUAAUCAUUGGUAUAUAUAAAUUUGACGAUCACAUGGUUUCAUCAAAAAAUUAGCGAGUAUCAAAUUUUCACAGCGCAGACAGUGAACUCGAGCUAAGCAAAUUACAAACCGGCGAUAUGAUUCAAAUUUUGUUAAGCAAUAAUUUGUAUAUAAACGCCAGCGAUGAGAAACGGCAUUGUUUUGAAAAUAAUUUAAGAAGGUUCUCCAUGGACGUUGUUGCCCUUACACACCUGCGGAGGUUUAAAUUGGUCUUGUUUUCAAUACAAUAAAUCCCAAAAAUGAAUAUAUCGGCAGAAAAUUCCUAGUGGAAAAAAAUUUGUAGUACAUCAACUCGUCCAUAUAAAGGCAGGAUGUGAACACUUCAAUAAAUAGUUUUCUACUGAAAUUGAAUUUAUAAUAAGACUGAGCGAAGGCAGGUUCACUGAGUGAUUAUCGUCCAUACUUCAACAUCAUAAACCAUGAACUGAAAUAGCAUGAACCUUCGAUAACGUAAUUAUUCUUAAGGUAAGACGAAGCUUUAAGAUAAAUUUAUAGUAUUUAAGCUGAAAAAAGACAAAAUUGAUGUAAUUAUUAUUCAUUUUAUACUUUGACUAUAUAUCAAGAGAGGGCAAUUGAUAAGUUUGUAAUGUAAAAAAAAAGGAUAGACACAGAAGUAAACUAUUGAUAUUGAUAAACGAUAAUGAUAACUCACUCAAUCUUUGGUUUAGUUGCUUGCAAGGAACUUUUAAAUCUUGCAUUCACGUAAAGCUCGUUUGAGCAGAUACGAGUUUUAAAAGUUACAUAAAUAGUAACAAUGCGUGUAUUUUGUAAUUGUGUGCCGAACUACCGCUUAGAGGACUGUUUAAUGAAAUUGAGCUUAAGAAGCUUUACGACAUAAAAUUCAUAAAUUUUUUUUUUCUUUUUCUCAAAUUGAAAUUGGCUUGUACGUACACGUCGGCAGCUUUGCACUACCCUCGCUGACCCAUUUUCUUGACAAGAAAUCUUGUUUCCUCAGAAAAAUGAAACAGAUUUACUCUCAUUUAAACACUAAUGUCAAUUUAUUCUUCAUUAUUUCGGUACAAAUUUGCAUAUCUACUCGUAUGCCUUAAAUUAAAUAGGUUUGAAAUACACACCAGAGGGCUACUACCUCAAUCAGUCGGUCAGUAUGUAAAAUUGGCUUACUAAAUUUUACUUAUUCUGUUCCUCCUCUUGU